AAAUUUUAACGUACAAAAAUGCGGGAUGUAAUAUCUCAUUUCCGAGCUUUCAUCAAUUUAUUUAUGGAAUACUUUCACUUACAAAAAUAUGGGGUGUAACACUCACUUAGUAAAUGAGUGUAUGAUUGUAUCUAUACAGUCGGGUGUGGACAUUGCACAUAUUCAAGCAUUCUCCUUAGCACUUGAGGAAAGGAAGCAGAAGUUGAGGGCUGACAGAGAUAGAAGCUUGAGGUGCUAGUAGACAUCAUAGUGACAGGCAACCAGUAGCUAGUACUCCUUCAAGAUUUCAGGUGCCAAGAUUUUAUCGACCUCCACAGUCUAGAUCUAGUCAGCCAUGGUCAUGAUCCCAAUAUCGAGAUGUUUCUAGUUAGGGUGGUUGAGUUUACCCUAGGUGUUCUGAUUUUUGGAGAUUCGAUUUGGGCCGAUGCUAGUUAGGUGUAGAUGCAUAAUAUAUUUUUGGCGAGUUAGUCCAUUUUAUGAGAGAUUGACCGACUUGGGGUGGCAGUGGUGUAGCUCAACCAGCGAGAUAAAUUCCAGCUUCUUCAGCACCAGCACGCCCACAAGGUAAAGUUCCUCAUACACCAGCAGGCCGUGGUAGAAGUCGAAAUGGAGCUCCUAAUACAAGCGGUCCCCAUAACCGCACCUAAGCUCUGGUUGGUUUCUAGGACCGGGAGGCUUCAUCAGACGUCGUUAGAGGUACUUUAUCAGUGAAUUAUCUUAAUCUGUAUGUGUUGAUAGAUCCUGGUUCUACACUAUCAUAUCUUACUCACUUUGUUGCUGCUAUGUUUGGGAUAAAACCAAAAGUGUCACGACUCAAACCAAUGGGCCGCGACGGGUGCCCGAAUCCUACAUGUGGAACAUCCUUAAGCAUGCAUUUAACAUAUAAACAUGAAUAAUAUACGUGAGGGAAACCUAUCCAAAAGACAUAUGUACAUAUACAUGCGGAAUAUAGUGGACGAGCCGGCAAGGCUGCUAUAGACAACUAUAUAUCCAAAACUGGAAGCCGACAAGGCCGCAUACUAUUCAACUAUACAUAACUGUCUACAGACCUCUAAUAGAAAAUACAAUGGUAGAAGGAUGUGACUGGGCCACAUCAUACCCAUAUAUGUAUACAAGCAUAUCGUACCAAAAUCAAAAGCAGCUUCGGAUCAAGUGGAGCACGCCAACACUCAUUGACAAAGGAUCCUAAGAAUGGGAACCGUCAGCUUGCCUACCUGCACCCGCGGGCAUGAAAUACAGGCGCCGAGAAAUGGGGAGUCAGUACAAAUAACGUACUGAGUAUGCAAGGUGUGAAAAUCAGUACAUAAGAGAUAUAGAUGAAACAUGGAAUAAGAAAUUCUGCCUGUAAGUCUGAAUUACUUUGCAAAUCCUGAAAAAGUUAUAAUGUCAUGCACAUGCGUGUAAAUGUCAUAUCAUAUAUAGGUAUAGAUGUACAUAACAUCAUCAAGCUUCUGAGGGCAUCUCAUCAUAUCAUCUCAGCCACUGUGGGCAAAAUCAUCAACAUAUACCAACUGAUCAGGAGAUGGUGUGUCUAUAACACCGUAACCUUUCCCAUAUCCCAUAUACAUAUAUAUACGCGUAUAUAACGCCAUCUAGUCAUGGGUCAAUGUAGAUGUAUAAAUGAAUAAAUGCAUAAAAAUAUGUUAAUAAAAUCAAUAUACUUUUCGGAUAAACUAUAUGAACUAUGUACAUUUCUAAGACCCGUGAACAAAAGAUGUAAUAAUAAGAUAUAUGGGAAUUCAAGAGCAUAGGUACAUCUAGUACUCCUAUGAAUAGAGUUAUUUAUGAAAAUUGUGCAUUUGCUCAUUUCGUUUGUAUCGUAUGAAUUAUGCCAAAAAGAAAGAAGGGAUAGCCUUAACAUACUUGAGUCGAUUCUCUUGAGAAAGAUUACACUGUACUCCCUUAAUAUUACAAAAUCUCAAAUUAAUUAAGAAGCUAUGAAAUCUCUGCUUGAAUUAUUGAAGAUCUGUACCUUACUUGUUGAAAUCUUUGUUUGAAUUAGAGUCUUCGUUAUUCUUUAAAUUGUUGAAAAAGACGUAGUUUCAGAUUGCACCAGAAUUAGAAUCUUUUAUAUUCUUUAAAUUGUUGCAAGGUACAUAUCUAUCUUUGAAUUAAACGGACCUAUGUUGAAAUGAUUGCCACCUAACCCAUAGUGAGUAAGAGUCAUAUGGUUUGGUAGUGGCUUGCUACCACGUGGGCUGGGGAGGUUUUUAAUCUUUAUCCAUAACUCAUUAUUUAAUUAGGUAAUAUCCUGUUACCCAAUAAUUAAACGAUUUUCUUCAUAAUUAAGAAUUAUCUCAAAUUACUUAAUAUUCUACUCACUUUUAAUACACUUUACUUACCAUACUAUCGUGGUCAAGGGGUACCUUGUAUAGUGUUGCUCCGAAAAGCACACGCAAGUAUACAUGGUCGACAAGUAAUAGAGGAUUGUAAGUCCAGAUAUUGUACCCACAGGGACUUGUGAUUAACUAUCGACUAAAUUAAACCAAACAAUUAAUCUAUUCAAGCAAAUCCUAAAGUAUGAAUAUUUUACUAAAAAUAAUCUAAAGUAACAAAUUAAGAGAUCAAAGAAAACUACGACAAGCUUAACGACGAAUUCAAUGUGGGUGAAUAUUCUAGAGUUAUGGGUUAGCUAACAAUCCCGUUGAGUUUUCCACUUAAAUCAUCUAAAUAAUUUAUCUGGUUUAUUGGUUGACAGGGUUAAUAUUGCUCGUAGCCUUCUCCCGAAGUACAACUCGCCUAUUCAUGCUAACCUAACGCCUAUAUUCCUAUGGAAUUAGAAUUAACAAAAACGCAUUAAUAAUUCCUGUAUAGUAACCAAGCAAGGCGAUUGGGUAUAUUUCUAUCCUAACCGCAAAUCUGCCCUCCCUCAGAGUUAAGAUCUUGCUCUAUUCAAUCUUAUAUGCAAUCUAGAAUUUCCUCUCCCGAGUUUAAUCCUAGAUUCGUAGAUAGUAUUUAAUUGGUGAUCAAGCAAUUAAAUAAUUAAGCACAAGAUUGAAUAAAUAAACCAAUAUGAUAAAAUAAUAAGAACAAUCUAAGCUUCAAACUACAACGUUCAUGUAGCACCUAAAACUCUAGGACUAAUAAACUAUGAAACUAAAAGAAGAGAAGAGAAGAAAAACUAGUUAGAAGCCUCCUCCAUGCGUGGUGUAUGUUCCUCCACGUCUCCUUAGGUCUAAGAUCUAUCAAAAGUCUGUUCGAUCUCCAAAAAAACAUUUUUCCAUGUAUAUAUACCAAGUAGUGUUGAGCCCAAACGAAAACACCUUCUCCUGCACGAAAUAGGACUCUGGCUUUGUAAAUUUUGUACAACCGCGCCGCACCAUGCGCUGCGCCAUGCACCGCGCUAAUGGAGUUUAUCAGCAGCCUCAACUUUUCACAUCAAGCAACAUUUUACACUACUGUGCCGCGCCUUGCAGCGUCCCAUGCGGCGCAGCAUUGUAAUUUUCUCAGAGUGAACUUAUUUCGUCCUCUUUUAACAUUCGGAUUUGGUACACGACCUCCGAACACGAUCCCGACUUAAUGUCUUGGGCUUUUACUCAGACUUCAAAGCUCCAAAUCACUUGAAUUCAUUCCAUAACACCUACAUAGGUCGGAAUCACUCCCACAAGGCAUAAAAACAUAUUUAGUGCAAAACACUAGCGAUUAAAGCUCAAACUCAACUAAAGUGCAGUAAAUUAGAGUGUAAUAAGAGACUAAAAUACACAUCUAUAGCCUAUCAUCAAUACCCCACACUUAAACCAUUGCUCGUCCUCGAGCAAUCAAACUACACUUUAUAUAGACACGACCUUUUAAACAAUUCUCCUAACUCAUCACACCGAGAAUAUUUAAAAUAGACUAAGCACAAGAGCAUAACAUCUUAACCUCAAGAUUUGACUUACAAGUACCACGCAUUAUUCACAACUCACUCACUUACUCUAACAUAGAGGUCAAUGAUAUUACCUUUCCUUCAUGAAUCAAGUGCCCUCACACAACAAAAGAGAGUAGUUCCACAUACUAAAAUUUAAGAAUAAUUAGGAACUCAAGAUAGAAAGAAUUCACUCACGCUCAGAAAUAACAUUCAUAUGCCACAAACGAUGCACCAUAGACUUGCCCGUAGUGUACUACUCUACUAAUCGAGUUCAUUCAGUCUAGGAUCAAGUAGGACUUUAUUUGGUUGUAAUGUAGGCUGCGAAACAGGUAGGAUACAUUUGGAUAUAAAAGUGACUACACCUCCCUAAGCACUUUAAUACAUACACUUUACCAUUGAAAACCCCACACUUAUGUCAAACCAUAACUCCACCUUCACAUCAACAUAUAUUAACUCCUCACUUCUUUAAGAACAAGUAUAUCACUAGCCACCACCAUCUAGAAUUAUUUUUCACAACAAUACAACUAAUUUUUUUUUCCAAUUCAUGUGGCUCUUACUUUUUCAAAACAGUGCACAUUUCUCCUUAUUUCAUUAGUUCCACUCAAAAGCCAAACCAACCACCCAACACUUUAACUUUUACAAAGUUCAUAACAAUUCAAGUUCUCAUGAGAGGUGAAAAGGUUCAAAUACAUGGUUCAUUCAACAAAUGGAUAAAACUUGUAAUGUGGUUGCCAAAAAACAGGAUUACAGGCUCAACGGGGUUAACUAUGAUACAUAAUAAUUAGGCCGGUAAUAUAUUUAUAUGGCUCAACAAAUAAACGCCUAUAUCACUUCCAAGAUUGAACAAAGCUACUAUUUCUCUUUGCAAAUACACGGGGCAAGUUCUAGACAUCAAAUGCAAUGCACAGAAUAAUACAAAACUUUACACACACAUGGCACAUAACUCACUCAGUAUUGGACUCAUCAAGACACUCUAGUCAAAGAAGUUAAGCAAAGUUAAGAUCGUACAAUUUAAGGUGCUUAUAUAAGAGUCAAAAACUGAGCUUAAGCGUCACAACAAAAGUACUCACUAUUCUCAAAGCAUGACAAAGUUAAAAGAUAUUGCUUCAAUUUUAAUCAUAACACAAUGGCUUCUCUCCUAAAAAAAUAAAACUACCUACACCCGGUUCAAACAAAACUCUUGGAAAAGAACCGCGUCACAAAGAAAAACCAAGGGGGAAUUGCUACACAACCUACAAAGAAAAUCUUUUUGUCCUUUUUCUUUAGAUUUAAAUCCCUCAAGAAAACUGUUUAGGAAAUCCAUCGUCGGGAAAAGUCCAAAUUUUUUUUUUGACAAAACUCCUACUACAAUUAAGCUAAAAUAGCACAGAAAAUCACCCAAACAAUCUCCUCACGCCACAUUUAAAAUUGUGCAAUGUCCUCAAUGCACACUAUAAAUAAAAAUAGGGUAAAAGAGACUCCCUGGUAGGCCAAAGGCCAAAGAAUUAGCAGCUCACGGGAUACUCAAACUUCUCCCACGUAUGAUCCUUUGUGUGGGUACCUCACACUUAGUUUCAACCACCUGCACUCUUUUGCACAUGCCUAUUGGCUUUGCCUCCUGCUUCUACUCCUACAAAACACAAAACUAAUACUAAAAAAAAUCAACACAAUAAAAGAAAAAAUAAAUAAAAGAAAAAGAAAAGAAAAAAAAUAGAAUUGGGUUGCCUCCCAACAAGCGCUUGAUUUAACGUCACGGCACGACGCCAUCACUUCACCACUUGUGCUUCCACUUUGAGGAUAUGAAUUGUGCCCCCAAUUUUGCAUCAAUUUUUCUGUCACGUUCCUGAGGCGGUGGUAUGAAAAUAAAGGAACCAAGUAAAUAAUAUCGCAUCUUUCACUUCUUAGCUUUUAAGUGAGGGAUGUCGUUUUGUCUCCUCGGCAUCAUAAAUUUCAGAAUAUAUGCACCCAGGUCCUCGUACAUUGUCUCCUCCAAAGGCUCAAAUGACUCGAUUUCUAUGUCAUCAUCCAAACACAAUGUUGAAAAAUGUAUGGAACGAGGACCAAUACGCCCUAACUCUAUAAUUGUAUCACUAUUUACAUCCUCAUAUGUACACACAUUAGAGUCUUUAAAUAAAAUAUUAUCUACUUCCUCACAUUACUCUAGAGUGCUUUUCGCAACAUGGACAUCAUUAAUAAAAGUACGGUCGAAUGAUUGACUCUCCAAUUUUAGCUCCUCGAUUUUGGCGUAUAAGCUCCUUUUCAGUUUCACACAACUCAGAACUAUUUUGUUGGGCGUUAGACGCAUCAACCUUUGCAAUCAAUUGAGCUCCCAAGUCGUGAAUAGUUGUGCCAAAUUUUUCGAUCUCUUGUCCUAGUUCAGCUCUUCCUUCUAUUAGGUCUUGUAUCCCAUAUGCAAUUUUUUCACGUUGAGACUCAUAUAUUUCCAAUCUUUCAGCUUGUUCCACCAGCCAAGUUUGACUCAAAAUCUCCUCUUUUUCAAAAUUGUCCUCUUGCUGGUACUCGCUCUCUUCAUUCAAUUCUUCCAUAUUGGCCUUCAUUCUUGUGAUUGUUGCCCUCAUUCUUUUCAUAUAUUUUCUGAGUUCAUCACGUUGCUCUGCUACUUGCCUAAGAAUAUUCCUAAAAUAUGCAUCAUAUUCCAUAUCCUUUACUUCAUUGCCCCUAUCAAACUAAUACACAUUAUUAGAAACAUUAUAAUAAGAGCUCUGAGAAGGAUAAUAAGAAUUAGGAUAGCCAUCCCAAUGGCCAUCUUGACCACGACAGAUAUUACAAAUAUUCCACUCAAAGGAUUGAGAUUGUACAUACAACUCGCUCCUGGGAACAUUCUGACAAUUUUCCCACCAGUGAGGUCCUCCACAAUAUGGACAAGGAUCACCAUAAUAAGAAUAACCAAUAUUUGAUCAAUUAUCAUUCCAAGAUGCCAUGUUAACAAAGAUAGUAAAUAUUAACCUAAGAUAAAAAUUAAAAAAAAAACAUGAAUAGACAAAGAGUAAAACUCUACUGUAGUAGUCUAGUUAAUUUCUAAGUCCCCAGCAAUGGCGCCAAAAAUUUGUUGCUCCCAAACGCACACACAAGUAUACAUGGUCAACAAGUAAUAGAGGAUUGUAAGUCCAGAUAUUGUACCACAGGGACUUGGGAUUAACUAUCAACUAAAUUAAACCAAACAAUUAAUCUAUUCAAGCAAAUCCUAAAGUAUGAAUAUUUUACUAAAAUUAAUCUAAAGUUACAAAUUAAGAGAUCAAGGAAAACAAUGACAAGCUUAACGACGAAUUCAAUGUGGGUGAUAUUCUAGAGUUAUGGGUUAGCUAACAAUCCCGUUGAGUUUUCCACUUAAAUCAUCUAAAUUAUUUAUCUGGUUUAUUGGUUGACAGGGUUAAUAUUGCUCGUAGCCUUCUCCCGAAGUACAACUCGCCUAUUCAAGCUAACCUAACGCCUAUAUUCCAAUGGAAUUAGAAUUAACAAGAACGCAUUAAUAAUUCCUGUAUAGUAACCAAGAAAGGNNNNNNNNNNNNNNNNNNNNNNNNNNNNNNNNNNNNNNNNNNNNNNNNNNNNNNNNNNNNNNNNNNNNNNNNNNNNNNNNNNNNNNNNNNNNNNNNNNNNNNNNNNNNNNNNNNNNNNNNNNNNNNNNNNNNNNNNNNNNNNNNNNNNNNNNNNNNNNNNNNNNNNNNNNNNNNNNNNNNNNNNNNNNNNNNNNNNNNNNNNNNNNNNNNNNNNNNNNNNNNNNNNNNNNNNNNNNNUCUAGAAUUUUCUCUCCCGAGUUUAAUCCUAGAUUCGUAGAUAGUAUUCAAUUAGUGAUCAAGCAAUUAAAUAAUUAAGCGCAAGAUUGAAUAAAUAAACCAAUAUGAUAAAAUAAUAAGAACAAUCUAAGCUUCAAACUACAACGUUCAUGUAGCACCCAAAACUCUAGAACUAAUAAGCUAUGAAACUAAAAAAAGAGAAGAGAAGAAAAACUAGUUAGAAGCCUCCUCCAUGCGUGGUUUAUGUUCCUCCACGUCUCCUUAGGUCUAAGAUCUAUCAAAAGUCUGUUCGAUCUUUAAAUAAUGUUUUUCCCUGUAUAUAUACCAAGUAGGGUUGAGCCUAGACGAAAACACCUUCUCCUACACGAAAUAAGACUCUGGCUUUCUAAAUUUUGUACAUUCGCGCCGCACCAUGCGCCGCGCUAUGAGCCACGCUAAUGGAGUUUAUCAGCAACCUCAACUUUUCACAUCAAGCAACAUUUUACACUGCUGCGCCGCGCCUUGACGCGCAAUGUAAUUUUCUCAGAGUGAACUUAUUUCGUCCUCUUUUAACAUUCAGAUUUGGUACACGACCUCUGAACACGAUCCUGGCUUAAUGUCUUGGGCUUUUACUCAGACUUCAAAGCUCCAAAUCACUUGAAUUCAUUGCAUAACACCUACAUAGAUCGGAAUCACUCCUACAAGGCAUAAAACACAUAUUUACUGCAAAACACUAGCGAUUAAAGCUCAAACUCAAUUAAAGUGCAGUAAAUUAGAGUGUAAUAAGAGACUAAAAUACACAUCUAUAAUCUAUCAUCAUAUAGCACUAGUCCAUAAAUAUCGGGUAUUAUGGCUCGGAUUGUAUUUUAUCCCAAUUCGACAACCUUCAAUGAAACUCUUUUUCUUUAAUUCGUUUACCCUUUAUCCUUCACAGUACUUACUUAUCGAUUUUUAUAAAUAGCAUAAAUACGUUAACCUCAAGAUAAUCUCAUCCCCAAGUCUACGUCGAUUAAUUGAGGAUGAAACUUUAACAUGUAAAAACAUGAGAUGUAACAUCUUUCUCCCUUAGAAACAUUCAUCCUCGAAUGUUUAACUCCCCUAGAUCUAUAUAAAUUUGGUAGAGUCACCUUUGUAAUAAUACUACUACUGAAUUAUCCUAUAGAAACUCAAUAAUUCAAUGCCACAUAGGACCAUAAUCAUAAAUAACGACAAUGGCCUCACGCGACCAAUCACAAUAACUAACACAAGAAUUCAUACACGUACCUUAAGGUUGUAAUGUCUCAGUUGGACUCUCCUCUAGAAGAGGAAAUAAGUGAGGAUAUCUGUAAGGCCCCAGAAAGUUUUGCUAAGUAAAAUAGGAUUUCGUGGUGCCAGGUAGGCUAAUUAUAAUAUUUUAUGUGCUAUUAACAUGAUGGACAUCAAUUGAAUUUGGUAAAUAAGUGUAUAAGUCAUAUAAUAAGUAAUUUGGGGACCAAGGAAAGUCCUAAGUCUAAGUCAAAUUGAAAAUUUUCAUAAUGGGCUAAAAUUCCAAAUGAGUUUGCACAAGUUCACACUUUGAACGAGCAUAUAUAAAUAUAUAUAAGGUUUUAUGUGAUGAACAACCUACAAAUAAAAGGUCUUUGAGUCUGGUUUCUAACGCUUCAAACCGUUCAUCGUUUGGAAAUUCCUACACAACGUUAUGAUCAAAUUACCAAAGGAUGGCAAAAUGCGAUCCCGUGGCAGAUUCUAUGAACGCAAAAUGGACCAGUGUAGCCCAGUUUUGGUCACCUAUUUUGCGGUGCCUCAAGCGACCCGCAUACCAAUUAUUCGAUCCCUUAUGCGACCGCAAACCCGAGUUCAGAGAGUUAAUUUUCCUAUUUUCAUUACCCGACCACAUUUUAGUAUAUAGGCUUUAGGGCUUCAUUUGGGGCGUUAUUCUGAUGAUUUUAGAGAGAGUUAAGAGAAUUUUAGAGAGAGAAGGAGGGAGCCUAACAUUCUAACCAUUCAAUCUUUCAUCAAUCUUCAAGAAUCAAGGAAAGCAAUCACAAGAUCUUCAUCUAAAGAGAUUGGGAUUGCUAGAAAUUUUUGGAAUGUUGUAGUAACUUAAGGAAAUCUAAAACAAGGUAUGUAUGACUAAAACCCCCUCUUCUUAGAAAUUGAUCUCCCAUGGUGUCCAUGCAAAUAUUGUAAGUCUGAAAUUUGAUUGAUGUAGUACUUGUUAUUUCAAAGGAAUUGGUGUUGCAAGACUGUAUGCGAAAGGUAUAUCUCAAUGUGUUCAAUAUGCUAUUCUUGGUAAAUUGAGGAUAUGUGAAGAGUGUGAACUAUGUGCUAAAAUGCCUAGAUCUCAAGUCAAGUUUAAAUUGAGAUUGUUAUGCCAAACUAUGUGAAAUCAUCUAUUUCUAAAGAUGUUUGAAAUAAAUCAAAUGAAUUGGGAAAUAGAGUGUUGCCAACGUGCCGAGAACUUGAGCUAUAGUUGUGCCUGGUGAUUCCUAUGACAUGAGAAUAUAUGAAACAGAUUAUGAAAUGAGCCUUGACUCUACUUUCCAUAAAUGACUUCAAUAACAAAGUGUCCUAAAGACUUUGUACACAAUUUAUCCCCAUAAGUGGCUGUUCGAGGUAAAGUUUUGCCUUAUAAGUACAUCCAUGAGAUCCGAGUUGUUACAUGCUCCGAUGUUGAAAUUGUAUAUUGUCGUGAUUGGAAAAGCGUAAUUCAUGAAUAAUUGGUGUAAUUGCUUGUUUAUGACUUUGAUGUGCGUUUUGUUUGUGGUUUGGUGUGUCCCCUCCUUUUUAGAAGAAUCAUUUGUGUUUAAAGUUCCAUUGCUAAUGAACUUGAGGUGUAUGAUUUCUGAAAUAUUGUAUAUGCCCAUGAUUCAUGAUUUGUCUCGUAUGUACUUGACAUCUUGCAUUGAAUGGCUUGUUGCUGAAAUUGAUAUUGAUGUCAAAAGUAGGGGAAAAGAGCUCAAAUUAUGAAAUGUGGCCUAGUGCCAAGUAUAAUGUGAUAAUUGUAUCCCUAAGUGCCAAUGAAUUGAUAUAUGUAAAGUAAAGAUUGAAAUGAGAUGAUAUAUGAAAAAGGAAAAAGGUCUUGGUAAGACGGCCUAGCCGUUCGGGCCGUGAUCGGACGCCAUGCCGCACACAUGGUGGUAUUAUGCUGAUAUUGAAAUCGGAAAGUGAGAAUGAAAUUGUGACUGAGGUACAUGUCUCAAAUGAGGCAACCUAGCCGACCGGUUCAUGAUCGGACUCCGCUCAAGAAGGCGGUGGUAUUAUGAAUGAUGGUGCAACAGUAUGAAAUUUCCCAACCUAAAGCUAUGGAAAUUAUGUAAAAGCUUUGUGAUUCCUUUUAUUUGAUGAUGUGGUGAUUGUUUAAAGCAUUUGUUGAAACCCUAUGAUUUCUUUGUUCUUGUAUUGUGGUUCUUUCUAAUGAGAUGGUGUUUAGUUAUACAUACUACUGCUAUUCGAUGACACUAAUGUCCCUUUUGUCGGGGGCGCUACAUCUUUAAAUGUAUGUAGGUGGUUCCAUAGCAGGCAAUGUUGGUCGCAGUUAGUGACGCAUCUUCCUUUCAGCUGACUUGGAGAGCCCUACUUCAUUUCGGGGUCCUGUACCGUUAUUUAUCAUGUACUUUAUAUUUUGAGGUAUUGCCGGAGCCUUGUUGUUGGCAUUUUCAUAUUACUCUUCAUUUAUAUUUAGAGGCUCCGUAUACAGGUUGUGGGUGGAGUUUGAUAAUGGGGAAUUGAUUUAGAAAUAUCGAUAUAUGGCAAAAAUGUAUAAAACUUGUAAUAUUUUGAAAAUUAUGAACGAAGUUAGUAAUGGAAAUGAA
rnacentral:lncRNA from 1 species